rnacentral:rRNA from 1 species
CUACGGGAGGCAGCAGUGGGGAAUAUUGCACAAUGGGCGCAAGCCUGAUGCAGCCAUGCCGCGUGUAUGAAGAAGGCCUUCGGGUUGUAAAGUACUUUCAGCGGGGAGGAAGGGAGUAAAGUUAAUACCUUUGCUCAUUGACGUUACCCGCAGAAGAAGCACCGGCUAACUCCGUGCCAGCAGCCGCGGUAAUACGGAGGGUGCAAGCGUUAAUCGGAAUUACUGGGCGUAAAGCGCACGCAGGCGGUUUGUUAAGUCAGAUGUGAAAUCCCCGGGCUCAACCUGGGAACUGCAUCUGAUACUGGCAAGCUUGAGUGUCGUAGAGGGGGGGAGAAUUCCAGGUGUAGCGGUGAAAUGCGUAGAGAUCUGGAGGAAUACCGGUGGCGAAGGCGGCCCCCUGGACGAAGACUGACGCUCAGGUGCGAAAGCGUGGGGAGCAAACAGGAUUAGAUACCCCUGUAGUC